rnacentral:rRNA from 1 species
CCGGCCGCCAGCGGCGCUCGCAAAGUUCGGAUCCGCAAGGACCGGGCCAGCGGGACGUCCGCGUGGCAGGGUGCACUUUCUCCGCGGUCGAGUGCUACGACCGGUUUCGAGGCGGUCAGAAGCCCGGCGGAAAGGUAGCGCCGCCCCUCGGGGUGUCGUGUUAUAGGCCGCCGCGGUGGACUCGCCGCGAGACCGAGGACGCUUGCCGCGCCGAGCGGUCCCGGGCCGUCUUGGGAGGUUCGACCUCGGCUGCACUGCUCCGCAGAGCACCGUAACCGCCGCCCUAGCACGGGUCCGGAGACUGCCGGCGCCUCGGGUCAGUAGCG